GGUUGCAGUAAGCCGAGAUUGCACCACUGCACUCCAGCUUGGGCAACAGAGUGAGACUCUAUCUCAAAAAAAAAAAAAAAAGGCAGAUGGACUUGAGUAAUGUUAAAGAGUUAAAAUGGACAAGACUUGGUGGGUACUAGCAGGUAAAGGGAAGAAGGGAGGGAAACAUGGGAGGAGGCUUGAGUGGAAAGAUGGUGAAUUUCUCCCCUAUUCUAUUCCUAAUAAUGAGAGUUCUUUCUAAGCAGGGCUUCUGUAGUUCUGUAGCAGGUAGAAGCCUUUCAGGACCAGUAAGAUGCUGGCAUGAUGCGUGAUAUUCCGGUGCCCCCAGUGAUGAUUUUUCCAAGCAAUUGUGUUUUAUUAGCUGAACCUUUGGGUGGAAGAACAGUGACAGUGCCAAGCUGAGACUAAUAAUCCUCCAGAUCACAUAGACUGCUACACACACGCAAACUGUGAAAUUCCUGUGUCAUCUCAUGGUUCAUUUUAUGAUCAGUAAAAAGAAGCAAUCUCCCUCUUGUUCCACAUACAUAUUCCGC
rnacentral:lncRNA from 1 species